rnacentral:rRNA from 1 species
GAUGAACGCUGGCGGCGUGCCUAAUACAUGCAAGUCGAGCGAACAGACGAGGAGCUUGCUCCUCUGACGUUAGCGGCGGACGGGUGAGUAACACGUGGAUAACCUACCUAUAAGACUGGGAUAACUUCGGGAAACCGGAGCUAAUACCGUAUAAUAUAUUGAACCGCAUGGGUCAAUAGUGAAAGACGGUUUUGCUGUCACGUAUAGAUGGAUCCGCGCCGCAUUAGCUAGUUGGUAAGGUAACGGCUUACCACGGCAACGAUGCGUAGCCGACCUGUGAGGGUGGUCGCCCACACUGGAACUGAGACACGGUCCAGACUCCUGCGGGAGGCAGCAGUAGGGAAUCUUCCGCAAAGGGCGGAAGCCUGACGGAGCAACGCCGCGUGAGUGAUGAAGGUCUUCGGAUCGUAAAACUCUGUUAUUAGGGAAGAACAAAUGUGUAAGUAACUAUGCACGUAUUGACGGUACCUAAUCAGAAAGCCACGGCUAACUACGUG